CCAGGGAUUAGUUACUUGCUUCUGUCUCCAGCAGCCACACAAGCACCAUGAAGAGGCUGCUGUGCUCUCUGCUGGGGCUUCUGUGCACCCAGGUUUGCUGGGUGAAAGGGCAGCAAGUGCAGCAGAGUCCCGUGUCCUUGGUUCUGCAGGAGGGAGAGAACGCAGAGCUGCAGUGCAACUUUUCCACCUCCACAAACCAACUGCAAUGGUUUUACCAGACGUCCUGGGGGAAGCCUCAUCAGCCUGUUCUUACAAUCCAUCUGGGACAAAGAAGAGUGGAAGACUGACAUCCACGACAGUCCCUAAAGAACGUCGAAGCUCUUUGCACAUCUCCUCCUCCCAGACCACAGACUCAGGCACUUAUUUCUGUGCUAUGGAUCCACAGUGCUCCACACACACCUGCAGCCUGUGCACAAACCUUCAGCCUGUGGUUAUGUCUCUUCUUAGUCACAAGACAUCAGGAAACCCCAAAGAAUAUCUGUCCGAUUUAAUAUUCCUUUCCUGUAUUGGUAGAGUUGUAACCUCAGGAAUGUUGGAAGCCGCACAGAUGAGGUCUCACCAACAUAACUGCCUCAACAGGAGCUGA